GGAAAGGCGCGCGAUACAGGGUGACAGCCCCGUACACAAAAAUGCACAUGCUGUGAGCUCGAUGAGUAGGGCGGGACACGUGGUAUCCUGUCUGAAUAUGGGGGGACCAUCCUCCAAGGCUAAAUACUCCUGACUGACCGAUAGUGAACCAGUACCGUGAGGGAAAGGCGAAAAGAACCCCGGCGAGGGGAGUGAAAAAGAACCUGAAACCGUGUACGUACAAGCAGUGGGAGCACGCUUAGGCGUGUGACUGCGUACCUUUUGUAUAAUGGGUCAGCGACUUAUAUUCUGUAGCAAGGUUAACCGAAUAGGGGAGCCGAAGGGAAACCGAGUCUUAACUGGGCGUUAAGUUGCAGGGUAUAGACCCGAAACCCGGUGAUCUAGCCAUGGGCAGGUUGAAGGUUGGGUAACACUAACUGGAGGACCGAACCGACUAAUGUUGAAAAAUUAGCGGAUGACUUGUGGCUGGGGGUGAAAGGCCAAUCAAACCGGGAGAUAGCUGGUUCUCCCCGAAAGCUAU
rnacentral:rRNA from 1 species